rnacentral:rRNA from 1 species
CAGCAGCCGCGGUAAUACAGAGGGUGCGAGCGUUAAUCGGAUUUACUGGGCGUAAAGCGUGCGCAGGCGGUUAUAUAAGACAGAUGUGAAAUCCCCGGGCUCAACCUGGGAACUGCAUUUGUGACUGUAUAGCUAGAGUACGGCAGAGGGGGAUGGAAUUCCGCGUGUAGCAGUGAAAUGCGUAGAUAUGCGGAGGAACACCGAUGGCGAAGGCAAUCCCCUGGGCCUGUACUGACGCUCAUGCACGAAAGCGUGGGGAGCAAACAGGAUUAGAUACCCCUGUAGUCCCUGUCUCUUAUAA